rnacentral:rRNA from 1 species
UGUUCCUACGGGGGGCAGCAGUGGGGAAUAUUGGGCAAUGGGCGCAAGCCUGACCCAGCAACGCCGCGUGAAUGAAGAAGGCUUUCGGGUUGUAAACUUCUUUUGUCAGGGACGAAGCAAGUGACGGUACCUGACGAAUAAGCCACGGCUAACUACGUGCCAGCAGCCGCGGUAAUACGUAGGUGGCAAGCGUUAUCCGGAUUUAUUGGGUGUAAAGGGCGUGUAGGCGGGGAGGCAAGUCAGCUGUGAAAACUAUGGGCUCAACACAUAGACUGCAUUCGAAACU